UACGGGGGGGGCAAGCGUUGUUCGGAAUUACUGGGCGUAAAGGGCUCGUAGGCGGCCAACUAAGUCCGACGUGAAAUCCCCAGGCUUAACCUGGGAACUGCGUCGGAUACUGGAUGGCUUGAAUUCGGGAGAGGGAUGCAGAAUUCCAGGUGUAGCGGUGAAAUGCGUAGAUAUCUGGAGGAAUACCGACGGCGUAGGCAGCGCCCUGGACGACACCUGACGCUGAGGCACGAAAGCUGGGGGAGCGAACAGG
rnacentral:rRNA from 1 species